rnacentral:tRNA from 1 species
GCAGAGAUGGUGAAAUGGCAGACACGCUGUCUUCAGGCGGCAGUGCGAGAGAUCGCGUGAGGGUUCAAAUCCCUUUCUCUGCA